ensembl:misc_RNA Metazoa_SRP Metazoan signal recognition particle RNA
GCUGGGUAUGGUGGCUCAUGCCUAUAAUCCCACAACUUGGGAGGCUGAGAUGGGAAGAUCACUUGAGCCCAGGAGUUCUGACCAGCCUAGGCAACAGAGUGAGACCCCAUCUCUA